GUGCAGCCAAUUAAGCCAACUGUGCUCUCUGCCCUGUGGGAUCGGGUGUACAAUGGUUGCAGACGGCAAGCAGCCUCCUGGUAGUGUAUGCAGCCUGUGACCUAUAUGGGCUGUCGUGAGAGACCUUGGAGACAGUC